rnacentral:rRNA from 1 species
GGAAUAUUGGACAAUGGGCGAAAGCCUGAUCCAGCCAUGCCGCGUGAGUGAUGAAGGCCCUAGGGUUGUAAAGCUCUUUCAACGGUGAGGAUAAUGACGGUAGCCGUAGAAGAAGCCCCGGCUAACUUCGUGCCAGCAGCCGCGGUAAUACGACGGGGGCUAGCGUUGUUCGGAAUUACUGGGCGUAAAGCGCACGUAGGCGGAUUGAUCAGUUGGGGGUGAAAUCCCAGGGCUUAACCCUGGAACUGCCUUCAAUACUGUCUGUCUAGAGGUCGAGAGAGGUGAGUGGAAUUCCGAGUGUAGAGGUGAAAUUCGUAGAUAUUCGGAGGAACACCAGUGGCGAAGGCGGCUCACUGGCUCGAUACUGACGCUGAGGUGCGAAAGCGUGGGGAGCAAAC